rnacentral:lncRNA from 1 species
UGUUUUAGAUUGUUCUUUGUUAUAGGAGCUGAAUAUUUGAGAGCAACAUGAAGACUAAAUACUCUCACAUAUUCCUGGUGUCAAAAAUUCUUGUGUGGCAAGGAAACAGCAGUACAUCUCCUGAUCUCCAGACAGCAUGGGAACAGCUGAAUCAUCCAGUCCUUCUGUCCUCUUGUUUGUCACAUACAGAAACACCUUACUGCUUCCUGCAUAUGAAGAAGUGUAUUUUUUAAGGUAAGAUCUGUUAUAAAGCUGCCUUUCAGGAAUUCUUUUCUGGCUUCAAGAUACAAUGCCAACACUGAAAUCCAAAUGAGGUUCAAAUUCACAUGUCAUCAAAUUCUGUUAAUUUCACUGGCUCUGCAGCCACAAGUCAUUUGAUUUCAUGCUGUGUGAAACUGCAAGAGAGAACAAUGAUCAGACUCCUAGCAUAGCUUCCUAUGGAGCAUUGGCAGUGGUCUCAUAUAUUGACCUAAUAGCCUAGGAGGAUUUCUGUCAUGGUGCAGAAGGUUAAGUGGUGCGUUGAUUUCAGAGAGGAGAGAAAUAUCUGGUGGGGAAGUAAAAUGAGAAUAUCAAAUUAAUUUUCACUUUUGA